rnacentral:misc_RNA from 1 species
GCGUCGAAGCGGAGACCUUGAUCUACGUUGGAAUGGAGAAUGUCUUCGGUAUCUUGCAGGAGAAGGUGACCUUCGACGUACUCGAGAGGUUGAUCUUCGCCUAUGCCUUGGUGGAGAAUGGGAUUGUCGAGGUGAAUGUUUCCUACGAGGUGAAACAGAACACUUUGGUGCAGAGCGAUAUGCCCUUUCAGAUGAAAGGGAGCGACGUCUCCUUUCUUCUGGAGAUCCGGAUGUACUUCGUGACCUAUGCCUUUCACCAGAGUAACUCCUCGAAUUGGAGAAUGACUUGCUGAUUGGCCUUGAUUUCCUGGGGGAGAGUGAAUGAUCUGCUGACCGUGGGGAUUUAGAGACCCUGUUUCUUACGCUUGAUCCGUUUCUCUCAACAGGAUCUAAAUUAUCCAUCAAGCGCACCUGAAGCUGUUGUUUUGGAGUUGGUUCCCGUGAAGUAUUUUUCUGUCUUAAAUCGCUGCCAUAAUCAUCCAUCUUCUUCCUUUUCUCUUGAUUCAGCUCCCUGUUGUCUCUCUCCUUUUUCUUCUGAAUCUCGUUUGCAAUUCGAUCCAUCUCAGCCUUAUUGUUUCUCAUUUCCUCUUCUUUGGCUUCUAGGAACUGUUGAGGAACACCACUGGCAUUGUUCUGUGCACUAAGUAGUAAUGCCCAAAGCUCUUUCAUGAAUUUUGCGGUGUUUCUUUCCAUGAAACCAGUAAGUGAAAUUUGAAGCUCCUUGCCAUUAGCUACCUUUCGUUCAAGAAGGCUAUAAAUAAAAUUGAUAAGCACUUCAUCUUCGAAACCAAUAAGCUCAGUAACUCGCUUAGCAAUCCAUGGUUUAAUUACAUCCAUCUUGACCUUUGUCAUAUC